rnacentral:rRNA from 1 species
GAUGAGCGCUAGCGGCAGGCUUAAUACAUGCAAGUCGAGGGGCAGCAGGUCUGUAGCAAUACAGGUGCUGGCGACCGGCAAACGGGUGCGGAACACGUACAGAACCUUCCUUUAAGCGGGGGAUAGCCCAGAGAAAUUUGGAUUAAUACCCCAUAGUAUUAUUGAGUGGCAUCACUUAAUGAUUAAAGAUUUAUCACUUAAAGAUGGCUGUGCGGCUGAUUAGGUAGUUGGCGGGGUAAUGGCCCACCAAGCCUUCGAUCAGUAACUGGUGUGAGAGCACGACCAGUCACACGGGCACUGAGACACGGGCCCGACUCCUACGGGAGGCAGCAGUAAGGAAUAUUGGGCAAUGGACGAAAGUCUGACCCAGCCAUGCCGCGUGGAGGAUGAAGGUCCUCUGGAUUGUAAACUUCUUUUAUUUGGGAAGAAACCCGGAUUUUCUAAUUCGGUUGACGGUACCAGAUGAAUAAGCACCGGCUAACUCCGUGCCAGCCGCCGCAGUAACAC